rnacentral:rRNA from 1 species
CCUACGGGAGGCAGCAGUGAGGAAUAUUGGUCAAUGGCCGGGAGUCUGAACCAGCCAAGUAGCGUGAGGGAAGACUGCCCUAUGGGUUGUAAACCUCUUUUAUCGGGGAGUAAUGCUGUGCACGUGUGCCCGUUUGCAUGUUCCCCGUGGAUUAGGCCCGGCUAAUUCCGGUCCAGCAGCCGCGGGUAUUCGGAAGGACCGGGCGUUUUCCGGAGUUAUUGGGUUUAAAGGGGGCGUAGGCCGGUUUUUAAGCGUGCCGGGAAAUUGUGUGGCUUAAACAUGAGCCGGCCGUGGGAACUGGAGAUCUUGAGUGCGCGAGAGGUAGGCGGAAUUCGUGGUGUAGCGGUGAAAUGCUUAGAUAUCACGAAGAACUCCGAUUGCGAAGGCAGCAUGCCGGAGCGCGACUGACGCUGAGGCUCGAAAGCGUGGGGAUCGAACAGGAUUAGAUACCCGGGUAGUC